AAGAUAUUAGUAAAACCAUUACAUAACUUUGUCGAAGUUAAUUUAUAGGUUCAACUCCUAUAUAUCUUU
ensembl:Mt_tRNA